rnacentral:rRNA from 1 species
UACGUAGGGUGCGAGCGUUGUCCGGAAUUAUUGGGCGUAAAGGGCGCGUAGGCGGCUUUGUAAGUCAGAUGUGAAAUCCCAGGGCUUAACCCUGGAAGUGCAUCUGAUACUGCUUGGCUUGAGUGCUGGAGAGGGUGGUGGAAUUCCUGGUGUAGAGGUGAAAUUCGUAGAUAUCAGGAGGAACACCGGUGGCGAAGGCGACCACCUGGACAGACACUGACGCUGAGGCGCGAAAGCGUGGGGAGCAAACAGGG